AAGACGAGCUCCGGCAUCAUCCACGCGUGGCGACGACGACGAAGAUGCUUCGGCCGGAGACUACCUCGACGGAGUCUAAUCUCUCUCGAUCAAAGCCUCGCCUGAAGACGACGAAGAUGCUCUUCAAAUCGUCCCAUGUAAAUCUCGUUUUCCAUUUCGUUAAAAUUUGAACUUGAAUAUGCAAAUUCGUUUACAUAAUCCUUGAUUUGAUUGCUGCGUUUUCACGCAGGGGCUCUUUGGAUGAUGGCGAUGAGUCAUUGAUGGUGAGAUCGGAGUAGGAAGGAUGAAGAUAAUUGCCGAG
rnacentral:lncRNA from 1 species